UACGUAGGGUGCGGGCGUUGCCCGGAUUUAUUGGGCGUAAAGGGCGCGUAGGCGGCUCGGCACGUCCGUUGUGAAAUCGCCCGGCUCAACUGGGCGGGGUCAGCGGAUACGGUCGAGCUUGAGCAAGCUAGGGGGUAAUGGAAUUCCCGGUGUAGUGGUGGAAUGCGUAGAUAUCGGGAGGAACACCAGUGGCGAAGGCGGUUACCUGGGGCUUUGCUGACGCUGAUGCGCGAAAGCGUGGGGAGCGAUCCGG
rnacentral:rRNA from 1 species